GACGUAGGGCGCGAGCGUUGUCCGGAUUUAUUGGGCGUAAAGAGCUCGUAGGCGGCUCAUUGCGUCAAUCGUGAAAUCCUGUGGCUCAACUACAGGCUUGCGGUUGAUACGGGUGGGCUGGAGUUCGGUAGGGGAGACUGGAAUUCCUGGUGUAGCGGUGAAAUGCGCAGAUAUCAGGAGGAACACCGGUGGCGAAGGCGGGUCUCUGGGCCGAUACUGACGCUGAGGAGCGAAAGCCGUGGGGAGCGAACAGG
rnacentral:rRNA from 1 species